UUUUAUGUUUUAAAGAAAGGAAACAAUUUCUCUUUGGAAAAUUUUUAUUUUUUUUUAUAUUUUUUAAGGGAAUUUCUCGUUGAAAUCUAUCUUUACCUUUCUUUUAUACAGAGUAUAAUUUAAGAGUUGUUUUUACAACUUCUCACCGCAACACUCUAAUUAUUAAAUAGAGCAAUUUUAUGUAUUCUAUUUUUUUUUGAUAACUUCCUCUCCAACUUCCACUACUUUAACCAUAUCACUUCCACUUCUCUUAUUUUUAUUUUUUUUAAAUGAAAAAAUCUAUAACAUUAUAACUUCUACAUAAUUCCUUUUUUUUACAUAUACAUAUGACAUACGUAUAUUUUCGUAUACACUCUAGUUUUCUACUCGUAAAAAAGGAGAACUGUUAACUGUAUCUUCUCUGCUACAGCGGAUGAUGAUUUGUGCCCUUUGUUCGAUAACUAUGGCAAGGUUAUUGAUCUCUUUAUCCGAUCCCUCGUGACCGCAGGUUUUUUAGGGUUUUCUCUUAAAUUCUCCUUUUUUCUGUAGGGUUUAUGGUAAUUUUUGUUGAUUAUUGAUUAUUUGUCAGUUGAUUUGAUUUUAGAAUUGGUGAAUCUCGUGGGUUUGCUUUUGUUCAUUACAUGUAUCAAGAUGAAGUUGUCAAAGCUGUUGAAAAGCUUGAUGGUUGGUUUUAAUUUUUCCCCAUUUAUCCAUUUUUUUAAUUGAAAUUGAAAUUUUCUUGAAUUUGGGAUAAUAAUUGAAAUUGGGUAUUCUUUUAAUUGUAAAACUAUCGGGUAUGUUUUAAAAUUUAUUACCCCGAUUGGGUUUGUUGGGCAGGCAAGGUCGUUGAUGGCAGAGAGAUAGAUACUAGGAUAGUAAAUUAGUGUAAAAGUGAUAUCCAUGUCAUGGAAUUGAUUACAGCAAUCUGCUAAGAAAGGAAAAGUGGUGUCGGUUUGAUGUUCAUGUCAUGGGAUUGAUUGCAGCAAUGUAAAUUAUUGGUAGCAUUACUAAAAGAUCCAUUGUCCUAUUGAAUGAUUUGACCUGGAUUUACCAUGAACCAAAUUAUUUUAUAUUGGUACAAUUCCCUGUUAUAUGUGUGCCUCGAAUGCUCCAUGUUGAUAUAUGCUUUAGUAUUAUGGUGUUUGGAGCUUUAAGCAAAGAAGCAUGGCAAGGGCUGACUUAAAAUGAGCAUAUAUCAAGAUCUAGAAGUGAUAUUGAGAUAAUUCAAGUUGGAGGUGAUAGCUCUUUUCAAGAGCUUUCCAACGAGUGGUCAUAAGCUUCAUUUGGUUAAGAAUUGAGGGAGUUAUGACUGUUUCAAGAAGUGUUGUCCGCACAUGGGGAGUUUGACCGAACCAUUUAUAGGUUCGGUCUUUGGCAGAACUGAUGCUCUUUUGAUUUCUAGAGUAGGUUCGGUCGAACCUAAGAGAGGUUUGACCGAACCACCCUAAGUUCGAUCGAACUCUGUGUAGGUUCGGUCGAACCUUUGAGCCCCUGUUCCAGCGCUGCGAUUUCUUCUUAUUUCGCUCGGGAUGUAAUCUUAACCGUUGUUUCAUCUUGCACUAUGUAUACUCUUGUUUUUAUUGUAGAGAAUAUGAGAGAGAAACACAAGUCAGACAAAGACCUAAACUUAGCUCACCAAGAGCACCAUCUUUCUCCAUUGUAAUUCUUCCUCCAUUGAAGAGUAAUACAAGUUCCAAACUCCCCAAAAGUGGAUGUAGAUUAUUUUGAGUGAACCACUAUAAAUCUUGUGUGUUUUAUUUUGUUCAUCUUUAAUUGCUUUCUCAUUUAGCUUUGCAUUGUUCCUUAAUCAAAUUCAAAGUCCCAAAAGGUCCUAUUUCAUUAACAUUCCCAAGUUGUGAAUUUACCAUAACAAUUAUCAACUUGAAUUUGCAGAUUGCUGCAGGUGUCUCUGGAUAUCAUGCCAGGGCCAAAUGAUCUUGCAAAUUUUAUCUGGAUGUUAGUUUUGUAAGCUAUUUGUUGUUUUCCUUUUUGUCUCUCUAGAUGUGACUGUUGUAGUCCUCUGAUCAUGCUAUUGCAUUAUGGAUGAAAGCUUCUAACUUAUUACCUCUUGUUCACAUCCUCUGAUUUAGUAGUUAUAAUGUCUUUCAACUUUGUUGAAAAUUACAAAUAGAAGUAGUUUUUAGAGCAUCAAGUCUUUAGAUUGUGAAGUUGUAAGUUGUUUGGUAAUUUGAGUGAGUACUUAAAAGUUGAGUCAAAAUGGUUAGGUUUAUGACUUUGUAAUUUCUAUGUUGGGUGAUUUUUUCAUUUGCAUGAGAUUGAAACUUUCUUACAUAUCUUUUUUCCUUUCCAGAAGCAAUUAUGAUUAUGCCAUUAUGAAGGAUUGGAGGUCUUGGCUAGAGGAUAGCAAAUGAUCAGCUUGUAGACUUGAUUAUUUGACGGGGAAGAAGAUGUUAAUACAGAGUAUUUGGUAAGACUUGCAGCCUAUAACGAUGUAGAAUUGGAUGAGAUUCGAGAAUAAUGGAGAAAGUUUUUUAGACUUAUGUUUUUGUUGAAAGACUAGUUAUCUUAUUAAUCGAUGUUAUAAUUAAUCACAUUUAUCUUAAUAAAACAAUGUAACACAUUCCUAUAUAUCUACUUUUAUUUAGCCUAUUGGUUAUUGUUAUUACAAUUCUAAAUUAUAAAUCAA